rnacentral:rRNA from 1 species
UACGUAGGGUGCAAGCGUUGUCCGGAAUUAUUGGGCGUAAAGAGCUCGUAGGCGGUUUGUCGCGUCUGCUGUGAAAACUCAGGGCUUAACUCUGAGCUUGCAGUGGGUACGGGCAGACUUGAGUGCGGUAGGGGAGACUGGAAUUCCUGGUGUAGCGGUGAAAUGCGCAGAUAUCAGGAGGAACACCGGUGGCGAAGGCGGGUCUCUGGGCCGUAACUGACGCUGAGGAGCGAAAGCAUGGGGAGCGAACAGG